UGCCUCAUUCAAUCUUUUCAAUUCUUCAUUUAAACCAGUUUUAUCGCAUAUGUUGUUAAUUUGUUUGUUAUUGUCUUUAACUUCAAACCUUACAGAUAUUUUAAUUUAUUGCAACUACUGAUAAAUGUAUACUAAUAUGUUUUAUGUAAGAGUUCAUCCUUGGUCAACCUUGUAUUGGGGGUAAUACUAGUAGUUAACAUAUAUUACCAAGGACGUCUACUGUAGUGAUGAAGUGAUAAAAAUGUACUUUACUUAGCACCUCGAGAAGUAUUAUAACUAUUUAAAUGUUUUACAUUAUUUAUAACACUCUAUUGUUCAUCGAGGUAUAUUCUCAUCUGAGUGUUCAUCGGCCUACUUGGCUGUCCACUUCUUCUUAGCGAGUAAAAUGAUUUACACGAAAGUCUAAUAGACCGUUUAUGUGACCUUCUAUUACAUAAUAUUAUAGCAAUAAUGUUUGUACUUUUUUGUUCCAAUACAUUGACUUAAAAUGUUUUUGAAAUAUUGGUUCUCAAACUCAUCUUC
rnacentral:lncRNA from 1 species